GAUGAACGCUGGCGGCGUGCCUAAUACAUGCAAGUCGAGCGAACAGACGAGGAGCUUGCUCCUCUGACGUUAGCGGCGGACGGGUGAGUAACACGUGGAUAACCUACCUAUAAGACUGGGAUAACUUCGGGAAACCGGAGCUAAUACCGGAUAAUAUAUUGAACCGCAUGGUUCAAUAGUGAAAGACGGUUUUGCUGUCACUUAUAGAUGGAUCCGCGCCGCAUUAGCUAGUUGGUAAGGUAACGGCUUACCAAGGCAACGAUGCGUAGCUGACCUGAGAGGAGGAUGAGCAACACUGGACCUGAGACACGGUCCAGCCUCCUACGGGAGGAAGCAGUGGGGAAUUUUCGGCAAUGGCGGAAAGCCUGCCGAAGCAAGGCCGGGUGAGUGAUGAAGGUCUCCGGACCGUAAAACUCUUUUAUUAGGGAAGAACAAAUGUGUAAGUAACUAUGCACGUCUUGACGGUACCUAAUCAGAAAGCCACGGCUAACUACGUG
rnacentral:rRNA from 1 species